GUCUUCCAUUUAAAUUCCCAUCUGUGUAAUAAACUUCUGUUGCUUCCCGCUGGGCAUAAUGUCUGGUGGGAAGGGAAAUCUACACUCUGGUUUUUCUGUGGUUUGUCUGAGUGGGGUAUACACAUCAAACAAGUUAAAACUUUCAACAACGGAUCUCUUGGUUCUCGCAUCGAUGAAGAACGCAGCGAAAUGCGAUAAGUAGUGUGAAUUGCAGAAUUCAGUGAAUCAUCGAAUCUUUGAACGCACAUUGCGCCUUCUGGUAUUCCGGGAGGCAUGCCUGUUCGAGCGUCAUCAAACACAUACUCAAGCAUGGUUUUGCUUGGUCUUGGGGGAAGAUGUCUUCAUCUCCCCUGGAAUCCCUCAGCGGAAAAGUCUUCCAUGUCCCCAGGCGUGAUAAUUACUGUUCGCCUGAUGACUGCAAGUCUCCGCCAGCUGUCAAUGGCCCCCCAGCUACUUAAUGAGUUUGACCUCGGAUCAUGUAGGGAUACCCCGCUGAACUUAA
rnacentral:rRNA from 1 species